UAUUUCGUCUCUCCCUCUUCUUCUCUUCCUCUAUGUAACCCUUGAUUUCCAUUAACAACAAGAAACCUCUGUUGGCUUUCAUUGUUGAAUCUAUGUAUAACCCUUGAUUUCCAACAACAACGGAACUACAAGGCUCUGUUGGGUUCCAUCUUUAAAGUGAAGGCAUUCUCUCCAACUAGAUAUUAGAUUUGGGGGAUCAAGUACUAGUGUUGAAGAACUCAAACUUAUUUGAUCGGUAUUUCUUCAACCAUGAAGUCUAGUACUCGUCUCGACUCUACCAUUUUUCAGCUCACGCCCACUCAAACCAGGCAGAAAUGAAGCCAUUUACAGCCAAGAUUGUGGACAUGGUGAAGCAAGAAAACUCUAUGCUUCUCAAGGCGGACCCAUUAUCUUAUCCCAUGUGAUUAUGUUGCCCAUAUAAAACUCACUAUUAUGCUAAUGUCAAAUGGGUCAGAUCGCAUUAUGUCCCAUUCUCUACAGGAGCUCCAACCUACUAAAACAAUAGAUGACCCUGAAAUUAAAGCUUGGUUAGCUUUGGGCACAAAAACAAAGAAGAAAGGUGAAGGGCAAAAGAAGAAAGGUAUGCCAGCAUUAUA